rnacentral:misc_RNA from 1 species
GAUGAAGAACGCAGCGAAAUGCGAUAAGUAGUGUGAAUUGCAGAAUUCAGUGAAUCAUCGAAUCUUUGAACGCACAUUGCGCCCUUUGGUAUUCCAAAGGGCAUGCCUGUUCGAGCGUCAUUUGUACCCUCAAGCUUUGCUUGGUGUUGGGCGUCUUGUCUCUAGCUUUGCUGGAGACUCGCCUUAAAGUAAUUGGCAGCCGGCCUACUGGUUUCGGAGCGCAGCACAAGUCGCACUCUCUAUCAGCAAAGGUCUAGCAUCCAUUUAGCCUUUUUUUCAACUUUUGACCUCGGAUCAGGUAGGGAUACCCGCUGAACUUAAGCAUAUCAAUAAGCGGAGGA